rnacentral:rRNA from 1 species
CCUCAUGGCCCUUAUGGGUAGGGCUUCACACGUCAUACAAUGGUCGGGACAGAGGGUCGCCAACCCGCGAGGGGGAGCCAAUCUCAGAAACCCGAUCGUAGUCCGGAUCGCAGUCUGCAACUCGACUGCGUGAAGUCGGAAUCGCUAGUAAUCGCGGAUCAGAAUGUCGCGGUGAAUACGUUCCCGGGUCUUGUACACACCGCCCGUCACACCAUGGGAGUGGGUUUCACCAGAAGUAGGUAGCCUAACCGUAAGGAGGGCGCUUACCACGGUGGGAUUCAUGACUGGGGUGAAGUCGAACAAGAGC